rnacentral:rRNA from 1 species
GAUGAACGCUGGCGGCGUGCCUAAUACAUGCAAGUCGAGCGAACAGACGAGGAGCUUGCUCCUCUGACGUUAGCGGCGGACGGGUGAGUAACACGUGGAUAACCUACCUAUAAGACUGGGAUAACUUCGGGAAACCGGAGCUAAUACCGGAUAACAUGAUCAACCGCAUGGUUCAACAGUGAAAGACGGUCUUGCUGUCACUUAUAGAUGGAUCCGCGCCGCAUUAGCGAGUUGGUAAGGUAACGGCUAACCAAGGCAACGAUGCGUAGCCGACCGGAGGGUGUGCUCGGCAAACCUGGACCUGAACCACGUCCCAGACUCCACGGGGAGGCAGAGGGGGGAAUUUUGCCCAAAUGGGCGAAAGCCUGACGGAGCAACGCCGCGUGAGUGAAGAGGGUCUUCGGUUCGUAAAACUCUGUUAUUAGGAAAGAACAAAUGUGUAAGUAACUAUGCACGUCUUGACGGUCCCUAAUCAGAAGACCCCGGCUAACUCCGU